AGUCUAUGGUCUGCUUCAUAGAUACCUUCUGCCCACUGUAAUAUAAAUGGCCGCAGAACUUUAACUGUGCUAAGGUAGCGUAAUAGUUUGUCCUUUAAAUGAGGACUGUAUGAAAGGCAACACGUGGCUUUACUGUCUCUCUACGAAUACUUGGAAGUUGAUUAGUGGGUGAAAAUACCCACAAAAAGAAAGAGGACGAGAAGACCCUGAGAGCUUUCACGAAAAGGUGCUUAGCUCCUACUGUUUUUGUUGGGGCAACAAAGGAACACAGAACUUCCUUUUUGAAACCGGACCCCUAAUGGGUUAAAGAAAAAGCUACCUCAGGGAUAACAGCAUAAUUCUUUUUGAGCUUGUGACCUCGAUGUUGGACUAGGGAAAUAAAGGUUCAGAAGAUCUUUAUGUUUGCUCUGUUCGAGCAGGACCCCCU
rnacentral:rRNA from 1 species